rnacentral:rRNA from 1 species
UAUGUAACCUACCUUUAUCAGGGGGAUAGCCUCUCGAAAGAGAGAUUAAGCCCGCAUAACAUCACGACAUAGCAUUAUGAUGUGAUCAAAUAUUUAUAGGAUAAAGAUGGGCAUGCGGAACAUUAGCUAGUUGGUAAGGUAAUGGCUUACCAAGGCUACGAUGUUUAGGGGAUCUGAGAGGAUGACCCCCCACACUGGUACUGAGACACGGACCAGACUCCUACGGGAGGCAGCAGUAAGGAAUAUUGGUCAAUGGGCGCAAGCCUGAACCAGCCAUGCCGCGUGCAGGAAGACGGCCCUACGGGUUGUAAACUGCUUUUGCAGGGGAAUAAACCCCCGUAUGUAUACGGGGUUGAAUGUACUCUGAGAAUAAGGAUCGGCUAACUCCGUGCCAGCAGCCGCGGUAAUACGGAGGAUCCAAGCGUUAUCCGGAUUUAUUGGGUUUAAAGGGUGCGUAGGCGGCCUGUUAAGUCAGGGGUGAAAGACGGUAGCUCAACUAUCGCAGUGCCUUUGAUACUGAUGGGCUUGAAUGUACUUGAGGUAGGCGGAAUGUGACAAGUAGCGGUGAAUUGCAUAGAUAUGUCACAGAACACCAAUUGCGAAGGCAGCUUACUAAAGUAUGAUUGACGCUGAGGCACGAAAGCGUGGGGAUCAAACAGGAUUAGAUACCCUGGUAGUCCACGCCCUAAACGAUGAAUACUCGAUGUUGGCGAUAUACAGUCAGCGUCAAAGCGAAAGCGUUAAGUAUUCCACCUGGGGAGUACGCCCGCAAGGGUGAAACUCAAAGGAAUUGACGGGGGCCCGCACAAGCGGAGGAGCAUGU